UACGUAGGGGGCUAGCGUUGUUCGGAAUCAUUGGGCGUAAAGCGCGUGUAGGCGGCCCGGUAAGUCCGCUGUGAAAGUCGGGGGCUCAACCCUCGAAAGCCGGUGGAUACUGACGGGCUCGAGUGCGGAAGAGGCGAGUGGAAUUCCUGGUGUAGCGGUGAAAUGCGCAGAUAUCAGGAGGAACACCGGUGGCGAAGGCGGGUCUCUGGGCCGAUACUGACGCUGAGGAGCGAAAGCGUGGGGAGCGAACAGG
rnacentral:rRNA from 1 species